AGAAAAUUCUCUCGAUGAACAGCUACGAGCUCUCAGCCCAGCUCUGAAGUGUGCGGUGGAGGAGAAGGGCGCGGCAUGCAGGGAGGCUGAGGACGCCAGGACGAGGGUGGAGCUGGAGAUGAGCACGCUCGCGGAGAACGAAGCUACCCUGAGGGCGGAUUUCCUCUCUGCGCGCCGACACCAGCAGGAACUGGAGAAGAGCGGCGAUGAACUGAAGACGGCAAAGCUAGAAAUGGAAGCGAAGAUGGAGAACACACAGGAUGAGAGGCGAGCGUUGCUGGAGCGGUG